GGGAAGAGCAGAAAUACGUCAAGCUGUCUGAGCUGACAUUCAAUGCUUUCUUGAAAGAAGUGUGUCUAAAAUUCAACAUACCAGAAAGCAGAAAGCCAGACAUUAAGGUGUAUGACCAGUCUGACACAGAAGUUGACUCAGAUGUUUUUGAAGAAUUAGUAAAGGAGUCACCUGGAACUUUCAGAAUCAUGCUGGGCAAUGGACUUGAUACCUCUCAUUCAUCAUCAUGCUCGGGUACAUCUGAUGACACCAUCAUUCUGAAUUUCACUGUGUGUGACGAUGUUGAAGAAGUAGCGGCUGGCGAAGGAAGCCAGCCUAAAAGGCCAUGCCACAUAAACUAUGAGGCAAAAGCAGUAAGUGGUGAACAUUGCUGUUAAGUCCAAUCUGAAUGUUGUUUCAUCAUGUGACAGCAUUACAUAUUGUUUUACAAUUACGGAAAGCACAUUUCUUUCCAC